rnacentral:rRNA from 1 species
UACGAAGGGGGCUAGCGUUGCUCGGAAUCACUGGGCGUAAAGCGCACGUAGGCGGAUUGUUAAGUCGGGGGUGAAAUCCUGGAGCUCAACUCCAGAACUGCCUUCGAUACUGGCGAUCUUGAGUCCGGGAGAGGUGAGUGGAACUCCGAGUGUAGAGGUGAAAUUCGUAGAUAUUCGGAAGAACACCAGUGGCGAAGGCGGCUCACUGGCCCGAUACUGACGCUGAGGUGCGAAAGCGUGGGGAGCAAACAGG